CUUUUCUCAGAGGAGAUUAGGGUUUCAUCUAAAUGAAGAGAUUGUAGUCCUAAAUAAAGAGGAGAUUAAGGUUUCAUCUAAAUGAGAGAUUGGAGAGGCUACAACCAAAGAGGAGAGAAGAUUUGAGAGAUUGGAGAGGCUAAAAUUUAACAAUGGGGAAGAGGUCGAUUGUGCCCUGGAUAAAACUAGGAUCUAUAACCACUAAAGAAAACGCCUCAGCUGAGAUCAAUACUGCUAAGCCAUGAAAUCUAGGCCUAAUUCAAGAUUUUUAUCGAUGGCGUUUCUAAAGAAAAAAAUUCAAUCGAUGGUUUUGAACCAAUUGGUUGUGUUCAUACUCUUUUAUGUGUUAAACUUCGUUUGUGGUCAUGAUAAAUCACUAAAUCUUUCCUACACAAGUUGAGUACCGUUUUCAUUAUGAAUUUACAUUGCAGGAAAAUGGUUUAGGGAAAAAUUGUAUAAAUAGUGAACUUUUGCUAUCUUGGUGACUCCUCAGUCCUAAGUGUCACAUGAUACAUGUUGUAACUAUAAGCUUUGUAUAUACGUUGCUACUAUGUUUUAAUUUUUGAUUUUUGUGUAACUCAUAAGCUUUGUAUAAACGUUGCUACUUGGGUUCGACUUUUGUGUAACUCAUAAGCUUCGUAUGAA